GAGUUUGAUCCUGGCUCAGAUUGAACGCUGGCGGCACGCCUUACACAUGCAAGUCGCGCGGUCAAAAUGAGGGGGCUUGCCCCCGAAAGACGAGCGGCGGACGGGUGAGUAAUGCGCGGGAACGCGCCCUUUGGAGGGGGACAACCUUGGGAAACCAGGGCUAAUACCGCAUAACCUCCACGGAGCAAAGCGGGGGAUUUCUUCGGAAACCUCGCGCCAAAGGAGCGGCCCGCGUCCGAUUAGUUUGAUGGCGGGGUAACAGCCCACCAUGACGACCAUCGGUAGCUGGUCUGAGAGGAUGAUCAGCCACACCGGGACUGAGACACGGCCCGGACUCCUACGGGAGGCAGCAGUGGGGAAUAUUGGACAAUGGGGGAAACCCUGAUCCAGCGAUGCCGCGUGUGUGAAGAAGGCCCUCGGGUUGUAAAGCACUUUCGCAGGGGAAGAAACGGCGCGCUCUAACAUAGCGCGACACUGACGGUACCCUGAAAAGAAGCGCCGGCUAAUUCCGUGCCAGCAGCCGCGGUAAUACGGAAGGCGCAAGCGUUAAUCGGAAUGACUGGGCGUAAAGCGUGCGCAGGCGGCCGCGCAAGUCGGAUGUGAAAGCCCCGGGCUC
rnacentral:rRNA from 1 species